rnacentral:rRNA from 1 species
GACGGACGCUGGCGGCGUGCUUAACACAUGCAAGUCGAACGGAAAGGCCCUGCUUUUGUGGGGUGCUCGAGUGGCGAACGGGUGAGUAACACGUGAGUAACCUGCCCUUGACUUUGGGAUAACUUCAGGAAACUGGGGCUAAUACCGGAUAGGAGCUACUGCUGCAUGGUGGGGGUUGGAAAGUUUCGGCGGUUGGGGAUGGACUCGCGGCUUAUCAGCUUGUUGGUGGGGUAGUGGCUUACCAAGGCUUUGACGGGUAGCCGGCCUGAGAGGGUGACCGGCCACAUUGGGACUGAGAUACGGCCCAGACUCCUACGGGAGGCAGCAGGGGGGAAUAUUGCACAAUGGGCGGAAGCCUGAUGCAGCAACGCCGCGUGCGGGAUGACGGCCUUCGGGUUGUAAACCGCUUUCGCCUGUGACGAAGCGUGAGUGACGGUAAUGGGUAAAGAAGCACCGGCUAACUACGUG